UCUGGCUUUAGGUCUGGGACAACCACUGGAAACGGUGGCUAAUACCGGAUGUGCCUUUAGGGGUGAAAGGUUAACUGCCUGAAGAUGAGCUCGCGUCUGAUUAGCUAGUUGGAAGUGUAAUGGACUCCCAAGGCGACGAUCAGUAGCUGGUCUGAGAGGACGAUCAGCCACACUGGGACUGAGACACGGCCCAGACUCCUACGGGAGGCAGCAGUGGGGAAUUUUCCGCAAUGGGCGAAAGCCUGACGGAGCAAUACCGCGUGAGGGAGGAAGGCUCUUGGGUCGUAAACCUCUUUUCUCAGGGAAGAACACAAUGACGGUACCUGAGGAAUAAGCAUCGGCUAACUCCGUGCCAGCAGCCGCGGUAAUACGGAGGAUGCAAGCGUUAUCCGGAAUGAUUGGGCGUAAAGCGUCCGCAGGUGGCAAUGUAAGUCUGCUGUUAAAGAGUCUAGCUCAACUAGAUACAAGCAGUGGAAACUACAUAGCUAGAGUACGUUCGGGGCAGAGGGAAUUCCUGGUGUAGCGGUGAAAUGCGUAGAGAUCAGGAAGAACACCAGUGGCGAAGGCGCUCUGCUAGGCCGUAACUGACACUGAGGGACGAAAGC
rnacentral:rRNA from 1 species